UGAGUAACACGUGGGUAACCUACCUAUAAGACUGGGAUAACUUCGGGAAACCGGAGCUAAUACCGGAUAAUAUUUAGCUUCGCAUGAAGCAAUAGUGAAAGACGGUUUUGCUGUCACUUAUAGAUGGACCCGCGGUGUAUUAGCUAGUUGGUGAGGUAACGGCUCACCAAGGCAACGAUACAUAGCCGACCUGAGAGGGUGAUCGGCCACACUGGGACUGAGACACGGCCCAGACUCCUACGGGAGGCAGCAGUAGGGAAUCUUCCGCAAUGGACGAAAGUCUGACGGAGCAACGCCGCGUGAGUGAAGAAGGUUUUCGGAUCGUAAAACUCUGUUGUAAGGGAAGAACAAGUACGUUAGUAACUGAACGUACCUUGACGGUACCUUACCAGAAAGCCACGGCUAACUACGUGCCAGCAGCCGCGGUAAUACGUAGGUGGCAAGCGUUAUCCGGAAUUAUUGGGCGUAAAGCGCGCGUAGGCGGUUUCUUAAGUCUGAUGUGAAAGCCCCCGGCUCAACCGGGGGAGGGGUCAUUUGGGAAACUGGGGAGACUUGAGUACAGAAGAGGAGAGUGGAAUUCCAUGUG
rnacentral:rRNA from 1 species